AACGAACGCUGGCGGCAUGCCUAACACAUGCAAGUCGAACGAGACCUUCGGGUCUAGUGGCGCACGGGUGCGUAACGCGUGGGAACCUGCCCUUAGGUUCGGAAUAACUCCCCGAAAGGGGUGCUAAUACCGGAUAAUGUCUUCGGACCAAUGAUUUAUCGCCUUUGGGUGGGCCCGCGUUGGUUUAGCUAGUUGGUAGGGUAAAAGCCUACCAAGGCGACGAUCCAUAGCUGGUCUGAGAGGCUGAUCAGCCACACUGGGACUGAGACACGGCCCAGACUCCUACGGGAGGCAGCAGUGGGGAAUAUUGGACAAUGGGCGAAGGCCUGAUCCAGCAAUGCCGCGUGAGUGAUGAAGGCCUUAGGGUUGUAAAGCUCUUUUACCCGGGAUGAUAAUGACAGUACCGGGAGAAUAAGCUCCGGCUAACUCCGUG
rnacentral:rRNA from 1 species